GAUGAACGCUGGCUACAGGCUUAACACAUGCAAGUCGAGGGGAAACGACGGGGAAGCUUGCUUCCCCGGGCGUCGACCGGCGCACGGGUGAGUAACGCGUAUCCAACCUGCCUCUGACUGAGGGAUAACCCGUCGAAAGUCGGCCUAAUACCUCAUGGUAUCGUCUGCGGGCAUCCAACGACGAUUAAAGAUUUCAUCGGUCAGGGAUGGGGAUGCGUCUGAUUAGCUUGUUGGCGGGGUAACGGCCCACCAAGGCUACGAUCAGUAGGGGUUCUGAGAGGAAGGUCCCCCACAUUGGAACUGAGACACGGUCCAAACUCCUACGGGAGGCAGCAGUGAGGAAUAGUGGUCAAUGGGCGAGAGCCUGAACCAGCCAAGUAGCGUGCAGGAAGACGGCCCUAUGGGUGGUAAACUGCUUUUAUGCGGGGAUAAAGUGAGGGACGGGUCCCUCAUUGCAGGUACCGCAUGAAUAAGGACCGGCUAAUUCCGUG
rnacentral:rRNA from 1 species